rnacentral:tRNA from 1 species
GUCACUUUGCCGGAGUGGUUAACGGGAUCGCCUGCUAUAAUUGCAUUACGUAAGCGGUUGGGCUUUGCCCGCGAGUGUUCGAAUCGCUCAGGUGACG